GACAGAGGCCUCGAGCGUUAGGCGGAAUUACUGGGCGUAAAGCGUGCGCAGGCGGUAAUGUAAGACAGAUGUGAAAUCCCCGGGCUUAACCUGGGACCUGCAUUUGUGACUGCAUUGCUGGAGUGCGGCAGAGGGGGAUGGAAUUCCGCGUGUAGCAGUGAAAUGCGUAGAUAUGCGGAGGAACACCGAUGGCGAAGGCAAUCCCCUGGGCCUGCACUGACGCUCAUGCACGAAAGCGUGGGGAGCAAACAGG
rnacentral:rRNA from 1 species